UGUUUUGACUGGGCUUGUCCAGGGGUGUU
rnacentral:piRNA from 1 species